UACGAAGGGGGCUAGCGUUGCUCGGAAUCACUGGGCGUAAAGCGCACGUAGGCGGCUUCUUAAGUCAGGGGUGAAAUCCUGGAGCUCAACUCCCAGAACUGCCUUUGAUACUGAGGAGCUUGAGUCCCGGGAGAGGUGAGUGGAACUGCGAGUGUAGAGGUGAAAUUCGUAGAUAUUCGCAAGAACACCCAGUGGCGAAGGCGGCUCACUGGCUCGUAACUGACGCUCAGGCGCGACAGCGUGGGAUCAAACAGGAUUAGAUGACCCGUCCGUAGUCAGACCCAAG
rnacentral:rRNA from 1 species